rnacentral:rRNA from 1 species
AUGAACGCUAGCGACAGGCCUAACACAUGCAAGUCGAGGGGCAGCACAAGGAGCAAUCUGAGGUGCGACGCGCACGGGUGAGUAACACGUAUGCAACCUGCCUGUAAGCGGGGAAUAACCCGUUGAAAGACGGACUAAUACCGCAUAAUACUAAAUUACUGCAUGGUAAUUUAUUUAAACAUUUAUGGCUUACAGAUGGGCAUGCGCAUGAUUAGCUAGUUGGAGAGGUAACGGCUCCCCAAGGCAACGAUCAUUAGGGGUUCUGAGAGGAAGGUCCCCCACACUGGUACUGAGACACGGACCAGACUCCUACGGGAGGCAGCAGUGAGGAAUAUUGGUCAAUGGACGAGAGUCUGAACCAGCCAAGUCGCGUGCAGGAAGAAUGUCCCUAUGGAUUGUAAACUGCUUUUGCAGGGGAAUAAAGUGCAUCACGUGUGAUGUUUUGUAUGUACUCUGCGAAUAAGGAUCGGCUAACUCCGUGCCAGCCGCCGC